UGGGGAAUAUUGCACAAUGGGCGCAAGCCUGAUGCAGCCAUGCCGCGUGUAUGAAGAAGGCCUUCGGGUUGUAAAGUACUUUCAGCGAGGAGGAAGGCGGUAAGGUUAAUAACCUUAUCGAUUGACGUUACUCGCAGAAGAAGAACCGGCUAACUCCGUGCCAGCAGCCGCGGUAAUACGGAGGGUGCAAGCGUUAAUCGGAAUUACUGGGCGUAAAGCGCACGCAGGCGGUCUGUCAAGUCGGAUGUGAAAUCCCCGGGCUCAACCUGGGAACUGCAUUCGAAACUGGCAGGCUAGAGUCUUGUAGAGGGGGGUAGAAUUCCAGGUGUAGCGGUGAAAUGCGUAGAGAUCUGGAGGAAUACCGGUGGCGAAGGCGGCCCCCUGGACAAAGACUGACGCUCAGGUGCGAAAGCGUGGGGAGCAAACA
rnacentral:rRNA from 1 species